rnacentral:lncRNA from 1 species
UGAAACCCGUUGAAGAAGAGGCUGCCCCUCUCCCUCUACCUCUGCCACUAGCCUGAGUCACGGCUGGAGCUGCCGGCUGAGCCACACUACCCGAAGCUGUCUGCUGGGACUGUGCCACAAAAGCUGCUCUAGGACACUCCCGUGCCAUGUGUCCCUCAUGCCCACAUCUGAAGCAGGCUGUCGUCCCAAACCGACAUACUCCCUUGUGCGGCUUCCCACAC